CGGUAACAGAGAAUAGCUUGCUAUUUUGCUGACGAGUGGCGGACGGGUGAGUAAUGCUUGGGAAUAUGCCUUAUGGUGGGGGACAACAGUUGGAAACGACUGCUAAUACCGCAUAACAUCUCCGGAUCAAAGUGGGGGACCUUCGGGCCUCACGCCAUAAGAGUAGCCCAAGUGGGAUUAGCUAGUUGGUAAGGUAAUGGCUUACCAAGGCGACGAUCCCUAGUUGGUCUUAGAGGAUGACCAGCCACACUGGAACUGAGACACGGUCCAGACUCCUACGGGAGGCAGCAGUGGGGAAUAUUGCACAAUGGGCGCAAGCCUGAUGCAGCCAUGCCGCGUGUGUGAAGAAGGCUUUCGGGUUGUAAAGUCAGCACUUCGAGGAGGAAAGGUUGUACUUUAAUAGAGUGCAGCUGUGACGUUACUCGCAGAAGAAGCACCGGCUAACUCCGUGCCAGCAGCCGCGGUAAUACGGAGGGUGCGAGCGUUAAUCGGAAUUACUGGGCGUAAAGCGCGCGUAGGUGGUUAAUUAAGUCAGAUGUGAAAUCCCAGGGCUCAACCUUGGAACUGCAUUUGAAACUGGUUGACUAGAGUUUUGUAGAGGGUGGUAGAAUUUCAGGUGUAGCGGUGAAAUGCGUAGAGAUCUGAAGGAAUACCAGUGGCGAAGGCGGCCACCUGGACAAAGACUGACACUGAGGCGCGAAGGCGUGGGGAGCAAACG
rnacentral:rRNA from 1 species